UCAACGUAGGGGGCGGGUCAUUGAUAGCCUCUCCCUCCCUAGAGGAGGGGCUUAACGUAGAGCUGCAGGUCAUUGGAUACCACAAGAGAAGCCCCCCAAGGGAAUCCCUGGUAAGAACUCAAAACAUAAUAACCAGGGUGCUUAAGAAGAAAGCUAAGGAAUGGAGGCGACUUUGUCUCUCCUGAGGAACCACGGAGGAGAGUUUUCUGGAGGAAGUAAAUUUAAUCGGAGAUUUGAAAGGGAGAAGGUGGCCGUUUGUAAGCCCG